rnacentral:tRNA from 1 species
UGCCCAAGGAUGGGAAUCGAACCCACAAUGUUCGGCUUACCGGGCAGAUGCCAUAUCCACUAGGCUACCCUGGAC